ensembl:lncRNA
GAGCUCAAGUGACUCCACUGAAACUCUGGCAUUUAUCACAGACAAAAUUAGGUCAGAAGAGAGCACAGAGGUACUGAACUGAAAAGAGAUAAAUUCAUCUUUAGAAGAAAAAAAAAAAGUAUCAAGCUGAAAACUUGCAUUUAAUUUGUCUCCUCUGUGUAAGGUAAGAGUUUUCCUAAGGGACUUUCCAGGCGAGUUAACGGUAUCUCUGAUGUAACCAUAUUACCAAUUUUUAUAGGAGGAAUAUUGAAGAUAUGUUGUUGAGCUAUGUGACUUCGAGUAGUUAAAGAAGAGAGCAGUUUUUUCUUAAAUGUAAACAAAAGCAGGCUGGGUAAAAAUCUGUACCAGUUUGGAUAAUGUCCAAUCUUGCAAGCUGCUGAGCAUGUUCAGGUAACAGCGACAGUGGCAGUUAUUAUUUGUUAUCAUUAUUUUGCAGGACCAUAGUACUUGUGUUUUGAUCACAACAAGUAUGAGGUUAAAGCUGAUACAUAAAAACCUGACUAUACGUAUGACUGUCUGCCAGUGUGAUAUUUUCUCAUGUGAAAAAGUAUGACUUUCUAAUUGACAAUUAAGGAAACAAACAUUAGUGUCUUUGCUAUAGAACGCAUUCCUGGAUUGUGCAUACUGUAUUAGUUUAGAUAAGGUUUUGAAUUUUUCACUGCGCUUCCUUGAAUACAUACAUAACACACAAAUAGCACAGCACACCAUAGCACGGUCUUAGAAAAUAGCCUCCUGAAAAAAAGAUGCCUCUGGUUUUACCAAAAGAUCGUUCAGAAUCCAUUGGUGUGUUUGCCAUUUGCUCUUCAUCUCAUGUAAAUUUGAUAUUACAUUGAUCCGUUCUGCAGGGAUCCUUCUCUUCUAAAAGCUUCUGUAAGCAAUUAAUUCUCCUGUGGAAUUCACUGAACUGCCUAAAGCAGUGACACUGUUGCCCCUAACAGUAAAAUGGAGCUGGAGCAUCCCUGAAGAGCCAGAUUAGCUUAUCUGGAUGUUAUCUAGAAGAAAGGAGACUCGUUCCAGGCCCCGCCAGGGUGACUGUUUUUACAUUAGAUUAUCGUCUAAAAAGUGGAAAUAUAACGGAGCUGAGAUAAGGAACCAUCUGAUCUUCUGCCCCUGCGUGAGAAUUGCGAGAGGCCACAUCAUCACAUUCCCUCUUGCUUGCAUUCCUUCUGGGUCCACUGACCUUGCUCGAUCUGUCAAUCGCACAAAUGCACAGCUGCAGUGGCUUCCUGGCUGGAUUAUGUCUCCUGUACCAUACCACCAUCUUCACACAAUUCCCAUGGUGUGUUGUGGUGCCAGAAGGAAGGCUGCAGAGGUGACCAGCCCUUUUCCUAAAAUCUGCCUGUGGGUGACAAGCCUGAGCCUGGCAAUCACUGUUCCACCAUCAAAACAUUUGGGAUUACAGGAGCUACUAAAAUGA